ensembl:rRNA 5S_rRNA 5S ribosomal RNA
CUUUACGGCCAUACCACCUUAGGCACGCCCGAUCUCGUCUGAUCUCGGAAGCUAAGCAGGGUCGGGCCUGGUUAGUACUUGGAUGGGUGACCGCCUGGGAAUACCAGGUGCUGUAAGCA